UGGGGAAUAUUGCACAAUGGGCGCAAGCCUGAUGCAGCCAUGCCGCGUGUAUGAAGAAGGCCUUCGGGUUGUAAAGUACUUUCAGCGGGGAGGAAGGGAGUAAAGUUAAUACCUUUGCUCAUUGACGUUACCCGCAGAAGAAGCACCGGCUAACUCCGUGCCAGCAGCCGCGGUAAUACGGAGGGUGCAAGCGUUAAUCGGAAUUACUGGGCGUAAAGCGCACGCAGGCGGUUUGUUAAGUCAGAUGUGAAAUCCCCGGGCUCAACCUGGGAACUGCAUCUGAUACUGGCAAGCUUGAGUCUCGUAGAGGGGGGUAGAAUUCCAGGUGUAGCGGUGAAAUGCGUAGAGACCUGGAGGAAUACCGGUGGCGAAGGCGGCCCCCUGGACGAAGACUGACGCUCAGGUGCGAAAGCGUGGGGAGCAAACAGG
rnacentral:rRNA from 1 species